rnacentral:rRNA from 1 species
AAUGGGGGCAACCCUGAUCCAGCCAUGCCGCGUGAGUGAUGAAGGCCUUCGGGUUGUAAAGCUCUUUUGGCGGGGACGAUGAUGACGGUACCCGCAGAAUAAGCCCCGGCUAACUUCGUGCCAGCAGCCGCGGUAAGACGAAGGGGGCUAGCGUUGUUCGGAAUUACUGGGCGUAAAGCGCGUGUAGGCGGUUUUCCAAGUUGGGUGUGAAAGCCUUGGGCUUAACCCAAGAAAUGCACUCAGUACUGGAAGACUAGAGGACCGGAGAGGAUAGUGGAAUUCCCAGUGUAGUGGUGAAAUACGUAGAGAUUGGGAAGAACACCAGUGGCGAAGGCGGCUAUCUGGACGGUUUCUGACGCUAAGACGCGAAAGCGUGGGGAGCAAACAGGAUUAGAUACCCUGGUAGUCCACGCCGUAAACGAUGGGUGCUGGACGUUGGCGAGCUUGCUCGUCAGUGUCGCAGCUAACGCGUUAAGCACCCCGCCUGGGGAGUACGGCCGCAAGGUUG